rnacentral:rRNA from 1 species
GUGUCAGCCGCCGCGGUAAGACAGAGGUGGCAAGCGUUGUUCGGAUUUACUGGGCGUAAAGAGUGCGUAGGUGGUGAGGUAAGACCUGUGGGAAAGACCUGGGCUUAACCCAGGAAGGUCGCAGGUGACUGCCUCGCUUGAGGACGGGAGAGGAGAGCGGAAUUCCCGGUGUAGCGGUGAAAUGCGUAGAGAUCGGGAAGAAGGCCGGUGGCGAAGGCGGCUCUCUGGAACGUUCCUGACACUGAGGCACGAAAGCGUGGGGAGCAAACAGGAUUAGAAACCCCCGUAGUCC